CCCCUCUUGGGGUCGCAGCUAGAGAGUUUCCAGUCCUCUAACCAGUCUCGGCUAUGAGAGGGAGAACCAAGCAGAGGCCUACCCGUUCUAUUCCUAGCUUGGGCAGUGGCUAGUGAGUGGAAGGCCAUCUGCUACAAGU